CGGGGCUGCGGGAGGAAUCGCAGCCGGGCAGCCAGGGAAAACAAACCUUCCUGCGCCAUGGCACUGCCAGGGGCCCUGCGGAGCACGGCGCGGGGCAACGCGUGGCCUGAGUUUGGAAGGUGUGAAGCAGUGCAAGCGUAGCCCCCGUCCCCCCUGUGUGUGUCCAUCUAGGGAUACGUUGGUGAAAGAAGUGAAAAGUUAAAGCAAAAAGUGGAGGGCAGGACACCCUUCACAUCUAGCGCCUGCCGGCAGUCACGGCAUGGUGGUGGUGGGAAGAAGAAUUUACUCCCGUCGCCCUUCUCCCGAUCUGAAGAGCCACGUCUG